rfam:Brassica napus, WGS project CCCW01000000 data, contig: 73
AGCCUAUGAUGUGUGAGAUUGUCCGUACCAUCUGAGAUUUCUCCUUGAUGAGUUGUAACCUCUAAGUUCUGAGGCUU